rnacentral:rRNA from 1 species
GACGAACGCUGGCGGCGUGCUUAACACAUGCAAGUCGAACGAAAAGGCCCGGCUUUUGUGGGUUGCUCGAGUGGCGAACGGGUGAGUAACACGUGAGUAACCUGCCCUUGACUUUGGGAUAACUUCAGGAAACUGGGGCUAAUACCGGAUAGGAGCUCCUGCUGCAUGGGGGGGGUUGGAAAGUUUCGGCGGUUGGGGAUGGACUCGCGGCUUAUCAGCUUGUUGGUGGGGUAGUGGCUUACCAAGGCUUUGACGGGUAGCCGGCCUGGGAGGGUGACCGGCCACAUUGGGACUGAGAUACGGCCCAGACUCCUACGGGAGGCAGCAGUGGGGAAUAUUGCACAAUGGGCGGAAGCCUGAUGCAGCAACGCCGCGUGCGGGAUGACGGCCUUCGGGUUGUAAACCGCUUUCGCCUGUGCCGAAGCGUGAGUGACGGUAAUGGGUAAAGAAGCACCGGCUAACUACGUG